GAUGAACGCUGGCGGCGUGCCUAAUACAUGCAAGUCGAGCGAACAGACGAGGAGCUUGCUCCUCUGACGUUAGCGGCGGACGGGUGAGUAACACGUGGAUAACCUACCUAUAAGACUGGGAUAACUUCGGGAAACCGGAGCUAAUCCCGGAUAAUAUAUUGAACCGCAUGGUUCAAUAGUGAAAGACGGUUUUGCUGUCACUUAUAGAUGGAUCAGCGCCGCAUUAGCUAGUUGGUAAGGUAACGGCUUACCAAGGCAACGAUGCGUAGCCGACCUGAGAGGAUGAACGGCCACACUGGAACUGAGACACGGCCCAGACUCCUACGGGAGGCAGCAGUAGGGAAUCUUCCGCAAUGGGAGAAAGCCUGACGGAGCAACGCCGCGUGAGUGAUGAAGGUCUUCGGAUCGUAAAACUCUGUUAUUAGGGAAGAACAAAUGUGUAAGUAACUAUGCACGUCUUGACGGUACCUAAUCAGAAAGCCACGGCUAACUACGUG
rnacentral:rRNA from 1 species